AAUCUACAGGAGGAGGAGAAGAAUCAUCCACACCACUCUUCGCCACCCGGCUGGGAGCAAUUCCAGAAGGCAGGGUCUGCUUGGGCAGUUGAGAGGCCUUGGGUCAUGCCGCUUAUUGAAACCAUCAGCAGGAGGAGUUUGGAUAAAGCUGAAGUUCCACUUAGGCGCUCGGUGAUCCAUCUGGGAAGACAGUGGCCACAGCCCAACAGGAGGCCGGGGAACCUGGACCCCACCAGCCAAGCUUUGAGAAGCAGAUAGGCUUGAAUGAGCAUGGAAUGUAUCUAUUUAAAAAGCAGCUGGAAGUCUGUCAAGUGCAUUCUGGAAAUGGAUUCAGGCUAACAGAGUGUUCUGAAUAGAGACGCCUAAAACAAGAGCCAAAGACAUAGCAAUGGAGAACGUGGGUGGUACAGCCCUCCACCCUGGCGAGCAGCACAUUAGAAUCACGUAGGAGCUUAAAAAGUACUGACUGGCCUGGUCUUUUUCGGUGUGAAGGUGGGAUGCAGGCUUCCUGGGGUUAUCCUCUCGUACAGCCAGAGUUGAGAACCAUCUGAGUAGCGCUUGUCACACUUCUGGCCACAUCAGAAUCGUCUGAGGGACUUGUUCACUGCAGGUUGCUGGGUCCCAUCUCUAGCCUCUGAUCCAGUAGCCUGGGGUGGGGCACAGGAUGUCCUGCUGCUGGGGUCUGGGCAGCGCUAUGAGAACUGCUGACGUUGGAGCUCGAUCAGGUGGUCCCUCACUCCCUGACCCAGGGCAUUUGCUGCUUCCUGUCUCUGCCAUUCUUUUCUCAACCUGGGGCACUUGCUUUUCUCGCUAUGCUGCCCUGCCCUUUGCUGAGGCCUGGGCUAUCCCUGGCAGGGUGCAGAAAAAAAAUUUUUAAGUUACUUUUCUCAGCCCAAAGGAGACUGGAAUGCUUCACAAGGGAUUCUACUUGACAGGCAAUUGGACCACCCAAAUGGCAAACUAAAAGCAUAGAAGCGGACACCAGAGGCUCCUGGACCUGAGAUGUGGCCCUGGAAGUGACCAGAUGUGGUCUCAAGAGAUGGGGGCCCAGGGCUAGGAAUGCCGCCAUCCGGGGAGGCCCUAGAGCAGAGCAGAGCAGCUGUGGGCUGGUGCCAAGCUCACUCCUGCUUCUCUCUGCACGUCUCCCUCAUUCUUUUCUCUCUGAACUGUGACCCUUUUGGCCCCUCUGAGUACCAGGUGGGACAAGGUGACCCCUCAGCACUUGAGUUUACACCUUAGAUGUGUAGGUCCUCACAGAGGCCAACUUAUCUCCUUCUGGGACCAAAUUCCAAAUUCCUAAAGAAAAAACAAACCAAAAACGGAUAUGAUAAACCUAUCUCAGUGGUCAGCCCCUGGGGCGCAAACAUUCCCCUGAGUCAGGGAAGGGUGACUGUAACACAGGUAUCAUUAUGAUUUAGGUGUGGCAAGACUAGCAGGUCAGGGGUGCCUGCCAUUGAAAAGACUGUCAUACAGUUCCCAGGUGGAAGGGGUGUGCCAGGAGGGGCAGCCAGAAGGCAGAUGGAGGGAAGCUGCCUUUAUGGUGUUUCUGCUGGGAGGCACAGGUGCGGUGGAGGAAGCAGGCUUAGGAUUGGUUCGUGUGAAUGUCUUCAGUGGGCUCUGGUUAUCUGGUACCUGGCCCGGGGUGAUGAGGGUAGAUAGAGGCCCAGAAGGUGAGAGCCUAAUACCCAGAGCGGUCGGGGGGGUGGGUAGGCUCAGGGCUGGUUGGUUUGGGAAGCAUGUUUGUGGGCCCGUUGGUUACCGUCUCAAGGAAUGGGCUAGGCCUGGGUGUGGCUGUCCUUCUAGGAUCAGCAAGGCAGCAAAUAUCAAAGCACCAGAAUACACAAAGUAAAAGACUGCAUUAAUACAGGGUAGUUUACAAAGAAAUGGGAAAUUGUUGGUUCUGAGCUGGGUGGGGAUUGAAACGGUGUUCCCUGCAGAUCCAUUUAAAGUCUCUCUGUAAAUACGCGUUGGUGUGUAACUGUUCCUUGUCUCUAACCUCAGCCAGCCCCUCCCAUGCCAGGUGAGGGGUCUUCCCACCUCCCUUUUCCUCUCUGGGUGUCCCUCCAUUAUGAUCUGGGGACCAAGGCUGGCUGUAGCAGUGUGCCUCCAUGGCCUAGGGCGGUUGGCAAAUGCAAUUUCUUCGGCAGUGCUGGAUAAAGUGGGAUGAUGCAGUGACCACACAGAAUGUCAUUUCUGAUGAAAGCUGGCAUGCCAGCCCGUGACAGGACACAGAGGAGCGUGGAUUCCCCUUCAUGGUUGACUUCAGCCAAGGCCAUCAUCCCCGCUGCCAAAGCCUGCCCUGAUUGCCUGCCCUGGGGGAGAGAAGUGUUUUGAAGAUGACAAAUCAAAGUCAGGUCCUGCAUGGAGUUUGCGUGCCUGACAGCCUGGCUAGCACAGGAGGACAUGCAGGUGGAAUUUGUGCAAGCCUGUUAUUUUCUGUAACACAAUACACACUGAGAAGGCAAUGGGUACCUUGGACCCUGCAGGCCAAUUCAAGCACCAUCACUACUUUUCAGAAGUGUGGGGCAUAGAUGUCAACUGAGCCUAGCAAGAUGUCCUAUGUUACCAAGAGACUAUUAGAAAGCAGAGCAGGUCUCAAGAUUCAAUGAAACAAUUGCCUGGAAGCUGGAAGAUAAUAUGGAAGCUAGGGAUAUAAUAGAGUAUGUUGCUGGGAACGGUGGCUCCUGCCUGUAAUCGCAGCACUUUGGGAGGCUGAGGUAGGGGGGAUCACUUGAGCCCAGGAGUUGGAGGCCAGCCUGGGCAACACAGCAAGACCCCAUUUCUAUAAAUAAUUAAAAAAAAAAUUAGCUGGGUGUUGUGGUGCAUGCCUGUAUUCUUAACUACUCCAGAGGCUGAGGUGGGAGGAUGGCUUGAGUCCAGAAGUUCAAGGUUACAGUGAACUACGAUUGAGCCACACUGCAUUCCAGCUGGGUAACAGAGGGAGACUCUGUCUCUAAAAAAAAAAAUUAAAAAAAAAGUAGGGUGGGUGGUUGAGGGUUGUGCAGUGUGAGUGAGGGUGGCCAGAAAAACCAUUUCCGUGACAGUUACAAAGGCUGUGUGUGGAUGGUGACGCUGAGGUUUUAUCUUCAAGUGAGUUGUGCAUAUGAGGUUUGUUUGAUUCUAAAGCAUUUAUUUUCUAAAUGCAAACUUUUAGAAUAAAGUCUAGUUCCUGUUGCUCUAUUUUGGCAUAGGUUUUUAAUGUUUCAUAUACUUAGAACUUCAAAAUGGUGGUGGUUGGGGUCUGUCUUCUUACCUG
rnacentral:lncRNA from 1 species